rnacentral:rRNA from 1 species
AACGAACGCUGGCGGCAUGCCUAACACAUGCAAGUCGAACGAGAACUUCGGGUCUAGUGGCGCACGGGUGCGUAACGCGUGGGAACCUGCCCUUAGGUUCGGAAUAACUCCCCGAAUGGGGUGCCAAUACCGGAUAAUGUCUUCGGACCAAAGAUUUAUCGCAUUUGGUUGGGCCGGCGUUGGAUUAGCUUGUUGGUAGGGUAAAAGCCUACCACGGCGACGAUCCAUAGCUGGUCUGAGAGGAUGAUCAGCCACACUGAGACUGGGACACGGCCCAGACUCCUACGGGAGGCAGCAGUGGGGAAUAGUGGACAAUCGGCUAAAGCCUGAUCCAGCAAUGCCGCGUGAGUGAUGUAGUCCUUAGGGUUGUAAAGCGCUUUUACCCGUGAUGAUAAUGACAGUACCGGGAGAAUAAGCUCCGGCUAACUCCGUG